rnacentral:rRNA from 1 species
UCCUGCCUGCCCUGUGACCUAAAAGUUUAACGGCCGCGGUAUCCCAACCGCGCAAAGGUAGCGAAAUCACUUGUUUUUUAAAUGAAGACCAGUAUGAAUGGCUUAACGAGGGCCAAACUGUCUCCUUUUUCUAGUCAAUGAAAUUGAUCUUCCUGUGCAGAAGCAGGAAUACUCCCAUAAGACGAGAAGACCCUAUGGAGCUUCAGACAAAAACAGCCCACUUAAAAGUAUACCAAAUUAAUGAAAACAACAAAGUGUAAUCCUGUCCUUAUGUCUUUGGUUGGGGCGACCAUGGAGUAACAAAAAACCUCCACGUGGAAUAGGUACUAUCCCCUUAAAACUAGAGCCACAGCUCUCAUAAACAAAAAUUUUGACCAACAAGAUCCGGCAAAGCCGAUCAACGGACCGAGUUACCCUAGGGAUAACAGCGCAAUCCUCUUUUAGAGCCCAUAUCGACAAGAGGGUUUACGACCUCGAUGUUGGAUCAGGACCCCCUAAUGGUGCAGCCGCUAUUAAGGGUUCGUUUGUUCAACGAUUAAAGUCCUACGUGAU